rnacentral:rRNA from 1 species
UACGAAGGGGGCUAGCGUUGUUCGGAAUUACUGGGCGUAAAGCGCGCGCAGGCGGUCUUCCAAGUCAGUGGUGAAAGCCUGGAGCUCAACUCCAGAACUGCCAUUGAAACUGUUAGACUUGGGUACGAGAGAGGUGAGUGGAAUUCCCAGUGUAGAGGUGAAAUUCGUAGAUAUUGGGAAGAACACCAGUGGCGAAGGCGGCUCACUGGCUCGUAACUGACGCUCAGGCGCGACAGCGUGGGGAUCAAACAGG